UCAGAAAAUGGAGGAGAGCAAUAUUCGCCUGGAGAGUGUAGAAGAAGAGAACUCUGUCAUCAGCUGAGGAGUCAACUGUCAGAGCUCAGGGAACACAGCCAGAAAGGAAAGGAAGAGAAAGACGACAGCUCCAAACUGAGGACACUGCGUCUGAACCGGAGUCGUCUGCUGGUGUCUUUCAUUCCCUCUCUUCAUCUUGAGCAUGUGGACUACAACAGUGAUGUCUUAGAUACCAUCCUCACCCAGGUACAUAGAAGCUGUAUUAGCAUGCCUAGAAAAUAGCACAACCAAGAUGGCCGCCGAUUGAACUGACCUGCUCCAAUAAAGACUUAAA